rnacentral:lncRNA from 1 species
AUGAAGCUCUUAGCCUUCCUGGCACUGGUGGCAGUUUCCACCAUCCUGGUUUCUGGCCAGGAUACAACAACUGCUCCACAGGACACACCAGCUUCUGAAGCUGCUGCCACGAGCUCUACUGACCCCAGCGAAAGUACAGAUGCUCCCAGUGAAAGUACAGAUGCCCCCACCACAACCUCUGCUGGUUCCACUUCCACUGCUGCCAGCUCGACCAGUGCUGCAUCUAUCACCACUCGAUUUUGUUUGUUUCCACGUUUUAACAUAUUUUGCUGA